AUUGAACGCUGGCGGCAUGCCUUACACAUGCAAGUCGAACGGCAGCACGGGAGCAAUCCUGGUGGCGAGUGGCGAACGGGUGAGUAAUAUAUCGGAACGUGCCCAGUCGUGGGGAUAACGUAGCGAAAGCUACGCUAAUACCGCAUACGAUCUAUGGAUGAAAGCGGGGGAUCGCAAGACCUCGCGCGAUUGGAGCGGCCGAUAUCAGAUUAGGUAGUUGGUGAGGUAAAGGCUCACCAAGCCGACGAUCUGUAGCUGGUCUGAGAGGACGACCAGCCACACUGGGACUGAGACACGGCCCAGACUCCUACGGGAGGCAGCAGUGGGGAAUUUUUGGGACAAUGGGCGGCAAGCCUGAUCCAGCAAUGCCGCGUGCAGGAUGAAGGCCUCGG
rnacentral:rRNA from 1 species